rnacentral:rRNA from 1 species
CGAAAGCCUGACGGAGCAAUACCGCGUGCGGGAGGAAGGCCCUUGGGUCGUAAACCGCUUUUCUUAGGGAAGAAACCUGACGGUACCUAAGGAAUAAGCCUCGGCUAACUCCGUGCCAGCAGCCGCGGUAAUACGGAGGAGGCAAGCGUUAUCCGGAAUUAUUGGGCGUAAAGAGUCCGUAGGUGGUUCAUCAAGUCUGCUGUUAAAGCGUGCAGCUCAACUGCAUAUAGGCAGUGGAAACUGUUGAACUAGAGUAUGGUAGGGGUAGGGGGAAUUCCCAGUGUAGCGGUGAAAUGCGUAGAGCUCGGGAAGAACUCCGAUGGCGAAAGCACUCUGCUGGGCCGUGCCUGACACUCAUGGACGAAAGCUAGGGGAGCA